GGACACUGGAAUAUCACUGGCUGUUUGUUUGGAAAAGUCUUUCAGUGUUACUUGACUAAACUGACUCAUGGUGGAAUAAAAAAACCAUACGAACAGACGCUUAACCUGGCAAAUACCGGCGAGGCCUGAACUGCACAGAGGCGAACAGUGAAUUACUUAGGUGAAGUCACAGACUCCCUUCGUGCAUGUAACCUCAGCGGAAGGCGAAAGUUAAAAUAACUGAGUCCUGUGAAAAUAAUUUACCAGAUGAACAUCUUGAAAAAAGUGGAGUUGCCAAAGUCUUUAAA